rnacentral:rRNA from 1 species
GGACGAACGCUGGCGGCGUGCUUAACACAUGCAAGUCGAACGGAAAGGCCCCUUUGGGGGUACUCGAGUGGCGAACGGGUGAGUAACACGUGAGUAACCUGCCCUUGACUUCGGGAUAACUUCAGGAAACUGGGGCUAAUACCGGAUAGGAAUCCUUGCUGCAUGGUGGGGGUUGAAAAGCUUCGGCGGUUUUGGAUGGACUCGCGGCUUAUCAGCUUGUUGGUGGGGUAGUGGCUUACCAAGGCUUUGACGGGUAGCCGGCCUGAGAGGGCGACCGGCCACAUUGGGACUGAGAUACGGCCCAGACUCCUACGGGAGGCAGCAGUGGGGAAUAUUGCACAAUGGGCGGAAGCCUGAUGCAGCAACGCCGCGUGCGGGAUGACGGCCUUCGGGUUGUAAACCGCUUUCAGCAGGGGCGAAGCUUGUGGUGACGGUACCUGCAGAAGAAGCACCGGCUAACUACGUG